CCCCUGAACUACUGUUAAUCUACAUGACAGUACAAAGAUGUGAGUGAGCUGCAUCAUUCUUCCAUGAAGCUUUCCUCUCCUCCCACUCAUAACAAUAAAGGCAAAAUGAACAAUGCAAAAGGUUCGGUCUGCUCCCAAAAUUCCUUUUUCCUUCAUGAGUAAGAUAUUUUCAUAGAUACAUCGACACUAUUUUGUUGCAUUGCUUUUUAUGGAGCCAUAACUUUUCUCCUAAAUAAGGUUAAAUGUCUUAUUAUUUCAAUUUUUUUUUUCUUGUUAUGCAGUUAACUUCUUGGCCAGUCAUGUGUGAUGGAUGUAGGUUGGCCGUAGCAUGCAUGCCAACUUAGGCUGAUGAUAAGCAAAAAAUAUGAUAUGAUGUUGGUGAGCUACAUCAGGCAUCCAUCUCUCUGUUCUAAUAUUAAAGGAAUGGGCCAAAAGAGGGAAGCAAUGAUUGGCGAAGGACGGCCAGCAUCCCCACAAUGGAGAAUGACCAUAGAAAGAUCUUUCCACAUUGAAGAAAGCUCUCUUGACUUGCAUUGGGAACCAGACACUUAGAAUGCCUUAGAUGAGAAGCAACAAUAGCCGGUGAAUGCCAACACUAAGGAUAGAAGCAUCUAUGAACAAGCCUAUUAGAUAUCCUUGGUGACCAUCUAUCUUAUGGACAUGUCUUUGCAGAGCUUUCUCACCUAUGGCACAAGGAGGAGAGGACUACAUCUUGGAGGAACUGUCUCUCUGCAGAUUUAAACUCAUCGAACAUGACCUUUUGUUCCCUGUUGGCAUCCAUCCGAUUGAAAAUUCUCAUAAAGCUUCCCAAGUUCUGUUAUGUCUGCUGGAAGGCAGUCUUCUGGCAAGGCCUAUAUGGAUUUCAGUUAGAUGAUCUUUUCUACCACAUGCAAAGUAAAACUAUAGAGAAAUGCUAAGGCGAUUCGUGUGCAGGCAGACGGAAGAGGCAGAGAUUCAAGUCACAUAUAUAUGUGGGAGUGGUGGGUUUUCCAGGACCUUGUUUCUACUUAUUUCCUUGUCCAAAAAAAAGACACUGCUGUCCAUGUCCAAAAUAGUGAUUUGAGUAGUCCUUAAAAGAUAUUCAGGGAUUAAGUACCCGAGAAAGUGCAAAAAGGAAUGAUAGAAUUCUGAAAAUAAGAUCAAGAUUGUGCUUUCUUGACCAUCAGGAGUAUACAUAUGCUGGUGUGUUUUAUAUAGUCCUUUGCUUCUUAUUUUCUCUUAUGAUUCCUUGCCUAAUGUUGUGGUUGUGUGGAUCUCUUGACUGGCAAUUCUGCAGAAAUCAUUCAGAAGGUAGGAUCACAAGAUUAAUGUAAAAUCUUUUUUCUGAUGAAAGGUAGAGUUAUAUUUAAUCACUAACCCAAGAGGCAUGCUACUUGCAGGCAUGCAUCUGCAGAUGCCCAAUACAACUGUCUCAUGGAAAGUCAAAACAUGAAACACAUGUUGGUGAUCCAAGCCCUUAAUCACACUGGCGUCAUGAAAAAUGUGUCUUCACUUAUUAUCAGUUUUGUCCAUUCAUCAGGAUUUGCGAAAUUGGUUACAGCUUUUGCAAGAAAUGGUCACAGAUGAGAAGUAUAGAUUGAGCUGUUGAACCAUGUCAGGAAAUGUCAAUAGUGCAGCCCAAUUCAGAGUAAUGGAAGAAUCUCUGAUGAAAUCUCUUUAUUCACAUCAAGAACACUAGAGACAUCACUGUUGGCAGUUAACUAAUCAUGGCAAUAUAUGGGAGCUAGUGAAGAUCUCAACUUUUC